rnacentral:rRNA from 1 species
UACUAGAGUAGCACUCGCAUAUCAAUAAGCGGAGGAAAAGAAACUAACAAGGAUUCCCCUAGUAACGGCGAGUGAAGCGGGAAGAGCUCAAAUUUGAAAUCUUAAAGGGUUUCCCUUUACGAAUUGUAGUUUAAAGAAGUGUUUUCUGUUGAGGUUUUGGUAAAAGUUCUUUGGAAUAGGACAUCAUAGAGGGUGAGAAUCCCGUAUUUGACCUUUACUUUCAACUUUGUGAUACACUUUCAAAGAGUCGGAUUGUUUGGGAAUGCAGUCCAAAAUGGGUGGUAAAUUUCAUCUAAAGCUAAAUAUUGGCGAGAGACUGAUAGCGAACAAGUACCGUGAUGGGAAAGAUGAAAAGAACUUUGAAAAGAGAGUUAAACAGUACGUGAAAUUGUCAAAAGGGAAGCGUUUGACACCAGUGUUGUUUUUCUGAAAAUCAAUUAAAGAACUGUUUAUGCUAAGCUGUUUAGACUUUAUCAGCUAUCUGUUUAGUUUUGAGCUUUUCUUUAAUGCACUUUUCAGUUAACAAGUCAACAUCAAUUUCUUUUGCUGUAAAAAAGCUUGAGGAAGGUGGCUUGAGAUUCGUCUUAAGUGUUUAUAACCUCUUGCCUAUGCAGUCGGAGAGAUUGAGGUCUGCAGCGUAGAUCCUUCGGGGCUAAAUGCAUUUGUGCUAAGUUAUAGCAUUUUAUAGACAACUUGUUGACUAUGAUUUGUCUUGUAGCUUACUCGCUUAUGUUAUUUUACCUACGCUUAGGAUGUUGAACUACUGAGACAUAGA